CGCCUCGUCUCUCAUUUUAGUCGAAGAGACGACGGCGAGCGGUCGACUACCAAACCGAACGACGGCGACAUAAAAAGUACAGACAUUAUAUAGUUAUAUAUCUAAUUGUAUAACUGGAUUACUUUUUUUAAACUUCCGUUGUUGGGAUUUUUUUUGUAACUCGAACUGAAAAAAACCUCCCUUUUUUUCGCUCUCAAGUCAAAAUGGAGAACGGCGACAACAAAUCUUCUCUCUCCGAGCUGCUGCUGGAAAAGAGCAGCCUGGACUCGUCGUUCACACACGCCACCAAACUUUUAAACGCAGAAGUCGAAAGGAUCCAAAAAGGUGGAUCCAAGAAGGACGAGCCUGACACGUACCUGGAUCUUUUUACACAACAUAACAUCAAACUCAAGGAGCGGAUCCUCAUACCUGUCAAACAAAACCCCAGGUUCAACUUUGUGGGAAAGAUUCUGGGACCCCAAGGCAACACCAUUAAACGUCUGCAGGAGGAGACCGGAGCAAAGAUCUCUGUGCUGGGCAAGGGCUCAAUGAGAGACAAAACUAAGGAGGAGGAGCUAAGAUCUGGAGGCGAGCCAAAAUAUGCCCACCUGUCCAUGGAGCUGCAUGUGUUCGUGGAGGUGUUUGCCCCUGUCCCCGACGCCUACAUGCGCAUGGCCCACGCUAUGGAAGAAGUCAAGAAGUUCCUAAUUCCUGAUGUGACCGACGAUAUCUGCCAAGAGCAGUUCAUGGAGAUGGGCUACCUGAAUGAAGGCCAAGAACAUGGAGGCCGAGGAAGAGGAGGCCGGGGACGUGGCGGCCCCCCAGGAAUGCACAGGGGGAGGGGAAUGCCACCUCGUGGCGCCGCUGCUCGGGGAGCUAGAGGUGGCGCAGUAAGAGGCGCCCCGUCAGGACGAGGGCCUACCGCUGCAUCUGGCAGGGGAGCUGCGGCAUCCCGUGCCAGGCCACCAGCUGCUGGGCCCCCCCAGAGGAUGUCAUCCCACCAGCAAACUCCUGCUGCAGCCGCCGAGAGCUAUGAUGGAUAUGGCUACAAUGAGAGCUACGAUGCUGCGACCUACGACUCAUAUGGCAACUAUUACAAUCAGCAGCAGGCAGAACCACAAUACUACGACUAUGGACAUGGAGAGUCUGCAGAGUCCUAUGAAUCUUACGCCCAGGAUGAUUGGAACGGGACCCAGAGAGCAGCUCCAAACAAAGCCCCGCCUACCUCCAGAGGUGCCAAGACGCCAUACAGGGAGCACCCAUACCGAGCAUACUGAAGUGGCCCCGCCCUCCCCUUUACAGUGUUACCUGUCGACAACGGCAGCUGUCGCUUUAAGCAGCCUGACACAAGCCCGUCUUGUCUAGGUUGCUCGCUAAGUGCCUGGAAACCCUUGAGCAGACAGCUGGGCUAAGGCCAUGUGACCAUCAGUGACACAUUGCUCAGGAGCAGCGCAGGAGGCGGCCCCUUGUAAAGCCGUGGCUCGGGGCCCAGUUCUGGAGCCGCCGACAGUCCGGGCCGACCGCCAAGUGGACCCACAGGAGCCAGCUGAUGUAGCUCAGGAAGAGCAGAUUAGGCGAGCAGGACAAAGCUCUCAGCUGGCUCACCCUGGAACCUCUGAAGACUAAUAAUGAACUAUUUCCCUUUUUUUUCUGCUACUGAUUUCUACCACCAAAGAGGCUGGAAAUGUAGAAGUUCCACUUUGAUGUGGUGUAAAAUGAGCUCUCUUGUUAUAUAGGAAGCCGUGAAAUAGUUUUUAAUUCCAAUGCAGUCAAAUGAAGGGCGGGAGUGGCGUUUGAAUUACAAGUGUUUAAUUGUUUAACAUUCCGUGUGAGUGCGCCUCGUCGCCACGUGAAAUUAGACCUCGGCCUGGGAGAGUUUAAGCAGGCCUGCGGUGUGCAAAUCAGCAUCUCUGCAGACAUCUCAGCCGCCCUGAGCAUUGCACAUGCUAAUGCUGGGCUCCAUUUGCAUGUCCAACCCCCCCGCCCCCCUUCACACUUUUCAAAACCAACAGCGCAUUGCUCUCUUUGCGGCCAAGUAUGCUAAUGUAGCAAAGUGAAGAUGCAUGUGAGGGAGCAGGACAAAACACUCCAUUUAUAAUUCAUUCUUUUGAUAUUAGCGCUGAUGCUACGUAAAAGGGCGAAACUCCUAUUUCCUGAAGUGCUACUCUGACAAAACAAGUAUGAUUGUUUUAGAUUACAUUCCAAAGGAAGUGGCUCUCGGGAUACAAACCAUCGAAGAUCUGCAGUCUUGAAGGGUAUCACAGGACUGCAAUCAGUUUGUGGCAAUGGCAUCUUCUGGGGGAGGUAUGUUGUGAUAUAAUGGUUGAAUUUGCUUAAUUGGCCUAAAAAAAAAUUGGAACAAAAAACAUGCCGGCCAAAAUUGAACGGAUACGUUUUUCCUCAACAUUUUUAUUCUUUCGUAGCGUGAGAGUUCUGGGAUUUCUGAUGGUCUGUGAGGGCGGCUGCGUGAAAAGAGGGCAGGGAGUCUAGUCUGCUGAUAUUUAGUAGCCUAGUUGUUUUUUUUUUCCAAUAAAGAGAUUGAUCGAC